rnacentral:rRNA from 1 species
UACAGAGGGUGCAAGCGUUAAUCGGAAUUACUGGGCGUAAAGCGCGCGUAGGUGGUUUGUUAAGUUGGAUGUGAAAUCCCCGGGCUCAACCUCGGAAUUGCAUUCAAUACUGCUUCGCUCGAGUACUGGAGAGGAGGCUGGAAUUUACGGUGUAGCAGUGAAAUGCGUAGAUAUCGUAAGGAAGGCCGGUGGCGAAAGCGAGCCUCUGGACAGUUACUGACGCUGAUGCACGAAGGCCAGGGGAGCAAACGGG